UGGCCUUAUGCCAAUGAAUUUUCAAACUUUUUUUCUUAAAUCAAAUUUGUAAAUAAAUCUAAUCAUAUUGACCUAAAAUUUCAAAAGAAAAAAAGGACUAACACCCAUUCAAACUUUUGGCCCCUUUGUGCCUCUUCUAACUUAAAAUUUGAUUAAAAGCAAUCUACUCAUUUUGAAAUUGUUACCACGAACUACGAGGUUUUGAUCCCUCAUUUUUAUGUUAGUACGUAGGCACAAGACCGAAGGUCUUGUCAAACA
rnacentral:lncRNA from 1 species